rnacentral:rRNA from 1 species
AGAGCGAACGCUGGCGGCAGGCCUAACACAUGCAAGUCGAACGGACUCUUCGGAGUUAGUGGCGGACGGGUGAGUAACACGUGGGAACGUGCCUUUAGGUUCGGAAUAGCUCCUGGAAACGGGUGGUAAUGCCGAAUGUGCCCUUCGGGGGAAAGAUUUAUCGCCUUUAGAGCGGCCCGCGUCUGAUUAGCUAGUUGGUGAGGUAAAGGCUCACCAAGGCUACGAUCAGUAGCUGGUCUGAGAGGAUGACCAGCCACAUUGGGACUGAGACACGGCCCAAACUCCUACGGGAGCAGCAGUGGGAAUCUUGCGCAAUGGGCGAAAGCCUGACGCAGCCAUGCCGCGUGAAUGAUGAAGGUCUUAGGAUUAGUAAAUUCUUUCAGUAGGGACGAUAAUGACGGUACUAGAGAAGAAGCCCGUUAACUUCGUGCCAGCAGCCGAC